CGCCCGCCGCGCGCGGCGGGCCUACGGGAGGCAGCAGUGGGGAAUAUUGCACAAUGGGCGCAAGCCUGAUGCAGCCAUGCCGCGUGUAUGAAGAAGGCCUUCGGGUUGUAAAGUACUUUCAGCGGGGAGGAAGGUGUUGUGGNUAAUACCCACANCAUUGACGUUACCCGCAGAAGAAGCACCGGCUAACUCCGUGCCAGCAGCCGCGGUAAUA
rnacentral:rRNA from 1 species